UUACCAUAAUUCUACUAAUAUGAUAUAGAAGUAUCGAUGAUUAUUAAUUUAUAUGCUUAUAAACCAAAAUCGAAAUACAAUAUAUCUCGAUUUUCCGAAAAGGAACUAUAAUUCAUCGGUCAAAUAUUUUUUCUUUAUAAGAUUCAGUCUUCAUUUGUUUCACGUAAAACAUUUUUAGUUUUUGUCGACGUUUAUUUCAUGUAAAAUAUAAUGAUCAAACUGAUAAAACUGUGUUUACUGUCAAAGAAACAAAAAUGGGAAGUUUUCAAAGUAGCAAAGAGGAAGCUCUCCUCACUGUCCAAGGAUUAACCCAUCUCGGGCACCUCUCCCUCUUCGAUGGUGAUAACUCAGGUAAGGAUAUCAUCUUUUCUUCAACCUCUCUACUAUAAAAGAAUCGUUUUUCACAGAUCUGAGCCGCUUUCUACGUUUUUAAGCUUGUCUCUGCUUCUUGGUCUGCGUUUCUACUAUUCUUCAGAACUGUCGUGUUUUACCAUUUUCUGCCGUACAAAAUAGCAUGUUCUGUUUUACUGCUCAAACUGACUGUUGUAAUUUGUUGCUGCUUUGUUUUACCAUGUUACAUACUGAUUCUUGUUUCCUUAAAAUUUUACAUACUGCUUUGUUCUUCGUUGAUGCUUUGUUCAGUUUUACCAUGUAUACAAUUGGGGAAAACAAACUUUGAAAUCUUAAAUCAUCAAAUUUUUUUUUAUUAACUUUUGUUUUUGGUCCAAGAUUUGAUGUCUUACAUUGGGUCAAUGCACUUUAAAAGUCCAAACUUAUCAACCAUUUUGGUAUUGUAAUAGCAUGAAGAAUUUGAUGGCCAAAGGAAAAAGGGUUAAUAUACUGCUCAACUUUGAUUUAGUGAUUGUUUUUAUAAAAUGAGACAUUUUUAUUUAUUAGAAAAUGCCAAAAGACAGUUUUUUUAUGCAAUGGAAAAAUAUUUGUAUUACUUUUGUAGAUGGACAGUAAUAAACAUUAUAAUGCAGUUGUUGGAGUCGUGACUUUAGCUUUAAUUUUUUAGACUUUAGAUUAAAAAUUAGAAAGCAAAUUACUUGUUACCAUCGUAUGAAUCAAGAAAAUUAUAUUAAUAAUAUUUUAUACCGGUUGUUUUUUUAAAUUUAUGUGACAUAAUUACUAAGGAAAAAUUUGUUACAGCCAACUUUCAGUGAAUGUUAACAAGUAAGUGAUUAUAUUUUUACAUAUAAUUAGUCAAUGUAAGGUUUCAAGUGUAGAUCAAUUAAGACAAUUCAUCGUUUUAGUAUUAUAUUGAGAACUAUUUUGAAAUUGUAUAAACUAACCAUUAGAUUAAAGUCAACUCUUCGUGAAAUCAAAAACAAUCUAAAAUUUUAUUUUUAUUUUAAAAAUACAUUGGAGUAUUUGAUGAAACUCAUAUUCGUGCAUCCGUUCCACUUAGUAUUUAAGGAAGAUUUUGUAGUAGUAAAAGGAGACAACACAAAAUUCAUUGAUUACCAUUACAUUACAUUUGAUUUGAAAUUUUCGAAUGUUUUAAUUGGUUGAAAAUGUAAUGCACGUUAUUAUUGUAUUUUAAGUAAUACACUUGCACACCCAAUAAAAUUCCGAAAGGUAACAAUUAAAAUUAAUUAUACAAAAUAGUUUAAUUAAAAUUAUAAUUUAUUAGUAAUAAUUAUGUUUUAUAAAAUUACAGGUAAUUAUUAUCUGUUGAUGUUGGAUAUGACAUCCGAAAUGAAAAUAUUUUUUUAUAUAUGGCAUCUGAUACAUUUAAAAGAGUUUAGUGAUCAAUGACCAAAAAAUACAAAAGAACUCUUUAAUCUCGUCAUUCAUAAUUGCGAAUCACUAUUGAGAGUGUUUUUGAAGAAACAAUUUCAUGUGCUAAAUGUUGAACCAUUUUUGAAUUUUCAAAUCUAAGUAGAUACAAUGUUAGCUUAUUGUAUCAUCUAUAAUUAUAUAAUAAGUUAAUCCUAAUGGUUUACUUAAUCAAUGAUUAUAUGAGGAGCUUGAGUUUAAUUUGAUAAUACCUACUCUUACAGAACGAGAAGAAACAAUAUCAUGGUCUACGAAGAGAGGAAAUUGCACAAACUAUUUAAAUUGAUUAUAUGCUUAGAAACAUUAAUUAGGUUUAAGGUUAACGUUUCCAUGUUAUUAUAUUUUUAAUAUUUAAAGAAAAUUAAUAUUGGUUAGAUUAUUAAAAUUAUUGACAAUUUAAAUUAUUAAUAUAGAAUGAGUAAGGGCAACAAAUAAGGUACAAUAAAGUAAAUCAAGUGGACAAAACUAAUAAAACAUCUCUUUCUCGAAAUUCUUGCAGAGAAGGCUCAUAAAAGAAAUAAGUCUUCUAACACUUUUAGAGUUAUUUCUAUUAUUCGAGUUACUAUUGCUAUUUUUGAAAGAUUUCAAGUUCAAUGUAAUGCUAAGCAUGUGAAAAAUCAAUUGAGAAUUGUAAAAACCACAUGGUAAAUUAUAUGCUCAAUUCGGGCCAAAAAUUAUUUUGGAAGGAAUGAUAACAUGAAAAUUAUUACAUGUGAUAGAACGAAAUAUGAUGCAACACUGAUGUUAAUAUAUAUGUCAAAUAUAUUUUAAUUGCUUUUUACUCUAAUUACAUAUAAUACCCAAUAGACAUACAAAAAGUAUGAAUCAUUUUUAAACAAAAACAUUGAUCAUUAUAAUAAAUUGAUUUUGAUUGUUGGCAAAGAUAUGACAAUAUAGAGUUUUGCUAGAACAUUUCCUGACAUAGUUCGAUAAUGGCAACAAGGAUUUGAUGCUCGUAAACUGCUACAAUGAAGAUAUUGAGGAGAUACGAACAAAAACAUCUUCAUUUCGCACAACUAAACGUAAAAGGAAAAAUACUAAAGAAAAUGUCGCUGACGAACAAAUUCAAUUUAUUAGUAAACAACUUGAUAAGAUUGUUCAUGCAUUGGAACCAUUUACUAAGGAUAAAACAUCACAUCUUUACGGAGAAAUGAUGCCGAUAAAGGUAAAAGGAUUUGAUGACGACUUCCUUUAUAAUGUGUUUGAUUAUCUUGCGAACCAUGAAUCCGAGACUAAAAUUUUCUUGGCUACAAGUACAAAAUAUAAAAAAAAUUGACUUCAAAAAUUUUUUCAAUGUUAAAAACAUUUUUAACCUUGGGAAAAUCAUUUAAGUCAUAAUUUUUUAUGCUUUGUACUUUUUACCAAAAAACCUUUAUCUUCAAAUUCACGACCCGCAAAAUAAUUACACACUACAAAAGGAGUCAUCAUAAAUCCUUCAUCUUCAUUGACAUCACUUUCUCAUAAAGUAAUGUCUUAUCCUUAUUAAAGUGUUUCAAUACAUUAACAAUCUUACCAAAUUACUCACUCACAAAUUAAAUUUGAUCAUGACACUUUUUUAAUUAUUUUUCUUUUUAUAUUUAAAAGUACCAGAUGCUUUUAUUCUUACCUCUUCAACAUCUUCAUCAUUGCCAAAAUUUACAAACACUAAAUCCUCAUUACCAAUCUAUAUUAGCAAAUGCUUUGAGAAAACUCACUAUUAUCAUAUCUUUGUUAACAACUAAAACUUUUUCAUCAUAAUUAUCAAUAUUUACGUAACUGUUGGUUAUUAUAUACAUAACGAAUAAAAAACAAUUAAAAUAUAUUUAACAUAUAUAUUACCAUCAUUGCUGCAUUAUUUAUUGUUCUAUCACAUGUAAUCAUUUUUUCAUUUCAUCUCAUCUGAAAUCACUUUUGACCCGAAAUGUGUAUAUAAUUUACCACGUAUUUUUUGAAGUUCUCAAAUGAUUUUUCUUAUACUUAGCAUCAACUUGAACUUAAAAUCUCAGAAAUAACUGUUGGAACUCAAUUAAUAGAAAUUAAUCUAAAAGUGUUAAAAAACUUAUUCCUUUUCUAAACCUCCUUUGUAAAAAUUUCAAAAAAAAAAAUAACCAUUAGUUUUGUCAACCUAAUUUGCUUUAUUACCCUUUCUUUAUUGUCCCUAGUCAUUCUACAUUAAUAAUUUAGAUUAUCAAUAAUUUCAAUAUCCAACAAAUUAAUUUCUAUAUCAAUAUCCAACAAAAACUUAAAAAAAUAAAUAAUUUUAGUAUUAAAACAUACUUAGCAUAAAAAAAUUAAACCCUAAACCUAACUAAUAUUUCUAACCAUAAAAUCAAUCAACAUAAUUUCUACAAUUUUCUCUUUUAAUAUACCACUCUUUUGCUUCUUCUCUUUCUUAUUGCUCCAUAAGAAUUAGUAUUAUCAGAUCAAACUCCAACUCAUAUAAUACCAAUUAUUAAGAUCAAACUCUCAUUAUAUGAUUAUAAAUGAUAUAACAAGCUAACACUAUAUCUACUUUGAUUAUAUUUACUUGGAUUUAGAAAUUCCAAAAAGGUUCAACAUCUAAUACACAAAAUCGAUUUUUCAAAAUCUCAAAAACAUGCUCAACAAUUUUCUGAUCAUUGAUCACUAAACUCUUUUAAAUGAUAUCAAAUACUACAAUAUGGAGAAAUAUUUCUAUUUCGAAUGUCAUAUUCAACAUCAACAAAAUAAUAUUUACUUACAAUUUUACAAAACAUAAUUAUUACUAAUAAAUUAUGAGCUUAAUUGAAAUAUUUUAUAUAAUUAAUGUUAAUUGUUACCUUUCAGAAUUCUAAAUCCUUUUAGACAUGCAAAUGCAUCAAUUAAAAUACGAUAAUCACGUGCACUACCUUCCUAACCAGUUGAAAGUUCGUAAAAUUUCAUAUCAAAUGUAAUAGCGACCAAUACAUCAUGUUGUUUCACCUUUACAACUACCAAAUCUUCCUUGAAUGCUAAGUGAAAUAGAUGCAUGAAUAUAAAUUUCAUCUAAUGCUCCAAGACAAUCUUUAAAAAUAAAACCUUAGAUUGUUUCUAAUUUCAAAAUAGCUCUCAAUAUAAUCCUAAAAUAACAGUAAAUUAUCAUAAUUGAUCCAAUAAUAUAUUGAUCCAAUCACUUGAAACCUUAUAUUAUGACCAAUUAUAUGUAAAAAUAUAAUCACUUGCUCCUAAUUUUCAUUAAUCUAAUUAAUUGUAACAAAUUAUUACUAAUAAGAUUAUCACAUAAAUUAAAAAAAAUAAUCAAUCUUAACCUUAUCACAUCAAUAAUGCUGGUCACCACUAUAUAAAAUAUUAUUAAUAUAAUAACAUUAUGAUCUUUAUUACAAUCAAUCUAUAAAAAUUAACACCACACAAAUAUUUUAUCAUUACAAAAAAUAAUUAUCGUUUGAUAUUUUAUAAUAAAUGAUCACCAAACCAAAACCAAAUAGUAUAUUAAUACUUUUUCUUUCGACCAUCCAAUUCUCAAUAUCAAAUAGUUGACAAGUUUGGACUUUUGAAGUGCACAGACCCAAUCUUAGACUAAAGACAAAAGUUUAUAAAAACAAAGCCGGUUGAUUUCAGAUUUCAAAGUUUAUUUCUCCCAAUUAUAUUCAUGGUAAAACAAAAACAAAGCUGUAUGUAAAAUACUAAGAAUACAAGAAUCAAUAUGUAACAUGAUAAAACUAAAACAAAACAACAACCAAAAAUAGCAAUCUGUCUGAGCAGUAAAAUAGAACACACUACUUUAUACAGCAUAGAGACAGAGCAACAAAGAACAGUAGAAUAAAAGGGUUCAAAUCUAUGAUAAAAUCGUGAAACACGAAAAACGUGAAAUGGUAAAAGACAGCAACUUUGUAAAACAGUAAAAACGCAAACAAAAAAGCAAAGACAAGCUUAAAAACGCAAAACAGUAGAAAAAGCGACUCAAAUCUAUGAAAAAUGUUUCUUUAACAGCAAAGAAGUUGAAGAAAAAGAAAAACAGUAAAGAUAUCACCUUCGAAAAGGAAGAGAUAUCGGCACCGAAAAUGGGUAGUUUCUUCGAUAGUAAAGAAAGCUUCCUCUUUGUUACUCUAAACGCUUCCCUUUUUUGUUUCUUCAACAGUAAAAACAAUGAACAGAACAUUACUAGUUUGAAAAAUAUCUUACCGAAAAAAAUUGCUAAGAUAUUUGACAAGAAUAAGAAGAUAAUCACUGAAAAUAUUUUCCGUAAAAAAAUUUACAUGAAAUAAUCGGAGCCUAAAAUAUAGUGAUGAACCAUCAGAAACCAAAAAUUAUCCCCAAAAGCAAAAUAGCCAUACGGUCCGCAUCAUGGUUCAAUCUUCUCUUUAAAGAAGACGGCAUCAUCCGGUUCCUUUAUAUUAUUUUUUCUUUUAAUCUAGGGAUUGAAAAACUGGAGGAAAAAAUAGGGUUUAACGAAGAUAAAACACAGUAAAUAAAUUUAUUUCUCAAAAAUAAAGAUCGAUAAUAGAAAAAAUAAUAGAGCAAAAAGGAGCUCAGAAAAAAAUAUGGGUAGAGAGACUUAUCAGCACAAAUUAAAAUCAGCGUGGUGCAUGACUUUCUCUAACUUUCUCAUCAUUGCCCAAAUUCUACAAUAAGAAAUGAAAUUUGAAAAGAAAUUAAUAAGAAAAAACAACCUGCAGACUGAACUGAGAGAUCCAAUGGCGGAGGCAGUUUGCUAGAUUUGACACUUGAUAAAGGGGGAAGAAGAAACCCUAAUCCUAUUUACCGUUUUUAUCAUGGCUUUGCUUUUGGACUCUGGCUUUGGGAUAGUCGUGGGCUCAAACGCCUAA
rnacentral:lncRNA from 1 species